GUUCCAACAUGAACUGCGUAAAAUACCUGCGAAAAAUAAACUUUGUUCCAUUGUCUUUAUUCCUCCUUUAAAAAACUUGUACAAAUAAAACCCCACCACUAUUUGGUGAAAGGCUACUCUGAGCACAUUGUACAAUCUCCUACUUAGCUCAUCCAAACAGACUUUACAAACCAAGAACACAACCUUUCACCUUUUUAAACCCCAAAUAUGAAUGAACUGCCAAGCUCCCAAGAAAAAUCAGCUGCAGCCGACAAUGAACUAUUUGGCAUGUCCCCAAACAAAAGGUAAUCUAUGCAGUACUAGAUGCUACAUCAGAAUAAUCGUCACUGAAAUUAUAUUGCUCAUAAACUUGGAACAACA
rnacentral:lncRNA from 1 species